rnacentral:rRNA from 1 species
AGUGAACGCUGGCGGUAGGCCUAACACAUGCAAGUCGAACGAACUCUUCGGAGUUAGUGGCGGACGGGUGAGUAACACGUGGGAACGUGCCUUUAGGUUCGGAAUAACUCAGGGAAACUUGUGCUAAUACCGAAUGUGCCCUUCGGGGGAAAGAUUUAUCGCCUUUAGAGCGGCCCGCGUCUGAUUAGCUAGUUGGUGAGGUAACGGCUCACCAAGGCGACGAUCAGUAGCUGGUCUGAGAGGAUGACCAGCCACACUGGGACUGAGACACGGCCCAGACUCCUACGGGAGGCAGCAGUGGGGAAUCUUGCGCAAUGGGCGAAAGCUUGACGCAGCCAUGCCGCGUGAAUGAUGAAGGUCUUAGGAUUGUAAAAUUCUUUCACCGGGGACGAUAAUGACGGUACCCGGAGAAGAAGCCCCGGCUAACUUCGUGCCAGCCGCCGCGGUAA